rfam:Ictidomys tridecemlineatus contig051994, whole genome shotgun sequence.
UGGGUUGUGGCUCAGUGGUAGAGCACUUGCCUCCCAUUCAUGAGGCACUGGGUUUGAUUUUCAGUAUCACAU